AAUCCCCUGCGGUGUUCGUGAAAGCCGUAAAUUCCUUGAACCAAUAUUGUGAGACCGGUUACCGACCAUGAAAUCGCUGGUGUGCGCGCCCCUUGCGGGCGAGCCUGAGGCGGAAGGGAAGUAACCCCCUGAACCCCAGGUUCAGGAUAAACCGGUGGAUACGGCACAGGCGGGGGGCCA
rnacentral:other from 1 species